rnacentral:rRNA from 1 species
AUCCUGAGUACGACGGAGCACGUGAAAUUCCGUCGGAAUCUGGGAGGACCAUCUCCUAAGGCUAAAUACUCUCUAGUGACCGAUAGUGAACCAGUACCGUGAGGGAAAGGUGAAAAGCACCCCGGAAGGGGAGUGAAAUAGAACCUGAAACCGUGUGCUUACAAGUAGUCAGAGCCCGUUAAUGGGUGAUGGCGUGCCUUUUGUAGAAUGAACCGGCGAGUUACGAUUUGAUGCAAGGUUAAGCAGUAAAUGUGGAGCCGUAGCGAAAGCGAGUCUGAAUAGGGCGUUUAGUAUUUGGUCGUAGACCCGAAACCAGGUGAUCUACCCUUGGUCAGGUUGAAGUUCAGGUAACACUGAAUGGAGGACCGAACCGACUUACGUUGAAAAGUGAGCGGAUGAACUGAGGGUAGCGGAGAAAUUCCAAUCGAACCUGGAGAUAGCUGGUUCUCUCCGAAAUAGCUUUAGGGCUAGCCUCAAGUGAUGAUUAUUGGAGGUAGAGCACUGUUUGGACGAGGGGCCCCUCUCGGGUUACCGAAUUCAGACAAACUCCGAAUGCCAAUUAAUUUAACUUGGGAGUCAGAACAUGGGUGAUAAGGUCC